UCCUACGGGAGGCAGCAGUAGGGAAUAUUGCUCAAUGGGCGAAAGCCUGAAGCAGCAACGCCGCGUGCGCGAUGAAGGUCUUCGGAUCGUAAAGCGCUUUUCUGCGAGAUGAGAAAGGACAGUAUCGUAGGAAUAAGUCUCGGCUAACUACGUGCCAGCAGCCGCGGUAAUACGUAGGAGGCGAGCGUUGUCCGGAUUUA
rnacentral:rRNA from 1 species